rnacentral:lncRNA from 1 species
GCAGUACUAGCAAAGCUUUUUCUUUCAAAAUUACCCCCACAAUUUGAAUUAUUUACUACAUCAGCUACAACAUAAUUUGUUAAAACUAGGGGUGCAAAUGGGUGGGGUCGGAUUAGGUCAUGAGUGACCUUGAUCCGAUCCAAUUUUUUGAUCGGAUCUAAAUAUUGGAUCCAAAUCCAAUUCAACAGAAGAUCGGAUCGGAUCCAUGAUCAAAGUUUUUGAUCCAACAAGUCAUUCGGGUCG